rnacentral:rRNA from 1 species
UUUACUCAGAGGUUUUGGGGUUAUAUGGUCAAGUGAUGAAGCGCAUACGGUGGAUGCCUAGGCGGUAGGAGGCGAUGAAGG